UUUCGCCCUUCAUUAAAGUUGCUUAAUGUUUGUGUGUGUGCUAUUACAAUAGUCAGAGAUAAACGUUUUCUAAUUUUAUAACGAUUAUUUGAAUUAUUCCACGAAUGUAAACAGUGAAAGUUUGCUAACAGCAUGGCGUAUACAUUGAUAGUGGCUUCAGUCAUAAUCGUUGAAGUUUUGUCGCAAGAAGUGCCAAAAAUACAACCAUUUAAUUUUCCAAAACAAGUUGUGCUUGGCCAGAAAGUCAGUACAAUAUGCACAGCAAUUUCUGGAAAUCCUCCUCUAGAAUUUUCUUGGCUUAAAGAUGGUCGUGAAAUUAAUGAUAUUGAUAAAAUUAGUAUCCAAUCUUAUACUACUAGAGAUUCUUCGGUCUUACUCAUAGAAAAAGUAGAGACCGAUUCUGCAGGAAAUUAUACGUGUGUACUUACUACUUCGUCCGGAAUCGAUAGAUUUUCUGCAAGUUUAUUAGUAAGAGCGCCAACAAAAUGGGUUCAAGAACCUUCAGAUAAAGAUAUAGUUGUGGGAACUUCACUAGUGAUAGAAUGUGAAGCGACAGGGUUACCUCCUCCGAAUGUUUCUUGGAGGAAAUUGGACGGUGCAUUGUCUCUCGAGUCAGAAUCACAGAUAGGGAAGAAUUUAUUAAAUAUUGAGAAUAUUCGAGAUAUAGACGAAGGCCAAUAUAUCUGUGAGGCUAAAAAUGGAAUAGGAGAUCCACUAAAUAAAAUAAUAUCUAUUACGGUUCGUGGUAAGAUUAUUGUUUUUGUACUCUGUGUUGAAAAUUAUCAAAGUUUCUUUACAUGAAUUUGUAGUAUGUCAAUAAUAAAAUUAUUUUAAUAAUGUUUAAAGCAAUAGGUUCUUUAACUUUCAGUUCCAUUAAAAGCUAUAUAAAUUAGGCGGUAUAAUUUAUAUAGAUAUAAUUUAAAAAAACAUAAUUCGAGAAUAUAAUAAAUUAUUAUUACAUUAAUGUUAGAUUAUAUUCGUUAACUUUCGAUGAUCACACGAAUAGCGUUUUCCUUAUUAUAUAUCUGUGGAAAAUAUUGGUUCAGAACUGUUUUGAAAACCGGAGGGCGCUGGGAGCGAGUCUUUGUUUAGUUAUGGAUGCUAGCUUGGCUAGAAAUUUAUUUGUGCUGAUGCAAUCUUUAAGAUUAGUAUUUAAUGUUGAUCGAGUGUAUUAUUAGAAAUUAUUCCUUUCAUACAUGCUAUGCACUGUUUAAGAAGACAUUGUUCAACGAUAUAACUAUUCAAAAAAUGAUUUAUAAAGUCAUAGUGAAAGUAUUGGUGAUUACUUUCUCGUUAUCAGUUGGAACUGGUAAGUAAAUUUUAAAUAAAAUUAAUUUUGAACUUAAUGAGCUUGCUAUAAUAUUUUAAUAAAAUCGAUUUUUCAAAUAGGGCAAAAAAUAAGACCAUUUAACUUUCCUAAAACGGUGACUUUAGGAGAAAGAGUUACCACGACUUGUGCCACAAAUAGUGGCGAUGAUUUAGUGUAUAAAUGGUAUAAAGACGGUAAAGAAAUUGAUGCAAAUAAAAGAAUUCAAAUAUUAAAUUAUGCGGGAGCAUCUAUGCUGGUUAUCGAAACGGCUGAAAUAAACGAUAAUGGUAAUUAUACAUGCACUGUAAAUUUACCGUCAGCAUCCGAUAGUUACAGCGCUGUACUUAAAGUGUUAGGUAAGUCUGUAAUAAAAUCAAAUGAAAAUAAUUUUUAAAGGAAUUUAAAUUAUGAUAGUCUUUUAAGUCGUAAUUUUAUCGUAUAUUUAGUUCCAGCUCAAUGGAUUAAACAACCAUCUGACCAAGAUAUUGCUAGUGGAGACACAGUUUCAUUUUUAUGCCAAGCUUCGGGUGUACCGCCUCCGAAUAUCAUUUGGAAAAAAGUUUCCCAUUUAAAUCAGAAUAGCCUUGAGACA
rnacentral:misc_RNA from 1 species